rnacentral:misc_RNA from 1 species
UGACUCCCACGAUGGCUUCUCU